rnacentral:rRNA from 1 species
AUUUUGGACAAUGGGGGAAACCUGGAUCCAGCAAUCCCGCGUGUAUAAUGAGGGCCUUCGGGUGUAAUGGUACUUUUGUCAGAGAAGAAAAGGUAUCGCCUACUCAAAGAUCGGUCUAAGGGUACCUGAAGAAUAGGACCGGGCAAGCUGCGUGCUAGCAGCCGCGGAAAUACGUGGGGUGCAAGCGUUAAUCGGAAUUACUGGGCGUAAAGCGUGUGUAGGCGGUUCGGAAAGAAGGAUGUGAAAUCCCAGGGCUCAACCUUGGAACCGCAUUUUUAACUGCCGAGCUAGAGUAUGUCAGAGGGGGGUAGAAUUCCACGUGUAGCAGUGAAAUGCGUAGAUAUGUGGAGGAAUACCGAUGGCGAAGGCAGCCCCCUGGGAUAAUACUGACGCUCAGACACGAAAGCGUGGGGAGCAAACAG